rnacentral:siRNA from 1 species
CUAAUGUGGUUGCAGACGCGU